rnacentral:rRNA from 1 species
GUGAAACCCUGUGGGAAGCAGGGGGGACCACCCUCCAAGCCUAAAUACUCUCCUGUGACCGAUAGCGCACUAGUACCGCGAGGGAAAGGUGAAAAGCACCCCGGGAGGGGAGUGAAACAGCACCUGAAACCGCCUGCCCACAAGCAGUCGGAGCACCUGUUCGCAGGUGUGACGGCGUGCCUUUUGUAGAAUGAGCCAGCGAGUUGCGGCGCGUGGCGAGGCCAAGCCACGAAGCGAGCCGUAGCGACAGCGAGUCCGAACAGGGCGUCGAGUCGCGCGCCGCAGACGCGAAGCCGGGUGAGCUAUCCAUGGGCAGGCUGAAGCGGGGGUAAGACCCCGUGGAGGGCCGAACCCACCUAGGUUGAAAACUGGGGGGAUGACCCGUGGAUAGGAGUGAAAGGCCUAUCAAACCCGGAGAUAUCUCGUUCUCCCCGAAAUAGCUUUAGGGCUAGCCUCGGGCGUUUACCAUGGGGGGUAGAGCACUGGACUGCAGCGGGGGCCUCACCGCCUACCAACGCAGACCAAACUCCGAAUACCCAUGGUCCACAGCCCGGGAGUCAGAACAUGUGGGCUAAGCUGUGUGUUCGAAAGGGAAACAGCCCAGACCGCCCGCUAAGGCCCCCAAGUCGAUGUUGAGUGGCAAAGGAUGUGCGUCCGCCCAGACAACCAGGAUGUUGGCUUAGAAGCAGCCACCCAUUCAAAGAGUGCGUAAUAGCUCACUGGUCGAGUGGACAUGCGCCGACAAUACACGGGGCUAAGCAUCGCGCCGAAGCGGCGGACCGGAACAUUGGUUCCGGUGGUAGGGGAGCUUCCCGUGCGCGGCGAAGCCGAGGGACGACCCUCGGUGGAGCGCCCGGGAGUGAGAAUGCUGGCAUGAGUAACGAGAGCGGGGUGGAAAACCCCGCCGCCGUAAACCCAAGGUUUCCUGGGCGAGGCUAAUCCUCCCAGGGUCAGUCGGGGGCUAAGGCGAGGCCGGAAGGCGUAGCCGAUGCACAGCGGGCCGACAUUCCCGCACCCCCGGAAGGGCGCUACAACCGAUGGGGCGACGCAGGAGGGUAGCUGGACGGGGUUCUGGACGUCCCCGCGAUGGCGCGUAGGGCGGCUCCCAGUGAAACGCGGGAGCCACGUGAGCCUGAGGCGCCGGACGAAGCCGCAAGGCGAAGCCAGUGAGCCCAUGCUGCCGAGAAAAACCCCUAGGGAGCCCGACGGGGCCCGUACCGCAAACCGACACAGGUGGGUGGGUAGAGAAUACCAAGGCGAUCGGGAGAACUAUGGUCAAGGAACUCGGCAAAAUCGCCCCGUAACCUCGGGAGAAGGGGCGCCGGCCUGGGUGGGGGGACACGCUCCCCGAGCCCGGUCCGGCCGCAGCGAAAAGGUCCAAGCGACUGUUUACCAAAAACACAGGACUCUGCUGAAGUCGUAAGACGACGUAUAGGGUCUGACGCCUGCCCGGUGCCGGAAGGUCACGAGGAGCCGUCAGCGCAAGCGAAGCGGCGAAUCCAAGCCCCGGUAAACGGCGGCCGUAACUAUAACGGGCCUAAGGUAGCGAAAUUCCUUGUCGGGUAAGUUCCGACCCGCACGAAAGGCGUAA